rnacentral:rRNA from 1 species
GACGAACGCUGGCGGCGUGCUUAACACAUGCAAGUCGAACGGAAAGGCCCUGCUUUUGUGGGGUGCUCGAGUGGCGAACGGGUGAGUAACACGUGAGUAACCUGCCCUUGACUUUGGGAUAACUUCAGACAACUGGGUCUCAUACCGGCUAGGAGCUCCUGCUGCAUGGUGGGGGCUGGAAAGUUUCGGCGGUUGGUGAUGUACGCGCGUCUUAUCAGCUUGUUGGUGGGGUAGGGGCUUACCAAGGCCUUGACGGGUAGCCGGCCUGCGCGGGGCAGCGGCCACACUGGGACGGGGAUGAGGCACAGACUCCAACGGGAGGCAGCAGUGGGGAAUAGUGUACAAUGGGCGGAAGCCUGAUGCAGCAACGCCGCGUGCGGGAAGACGGCCUUCGGGUUGUAAACCGCUUCCGCCUGUGACGAAGCGUGAGUGACGGUAAUGGGUAAAGAAGCACCGGCUAACUACGUG